ACCGGCAGCUCAAGUGGUGGCCAUUAUUAUUGGGCCUAAAGCGUUCGUAGCCGGUUUGAUAAGUCUCUGGUGAAAUCCCGCAGCUUAACUGUGGGACUUGCUGGAGAUACUAUCAGACUUGAGGUCGGGAGAGGUUAGGGGUACUCCCAGGGUGGGGGGGAAAGCCUAGAAUCCUGGGGGUGCGAGCUGUGGCGGAGGGGCGUAACCGGGACGAACCCUUGGGUGGUUCUGUUAUGCCAUGGAUUCGAUCGU
rnacentral:rRNA from 1 species